AUCGCCCGUUCCUCUACGAUCUCCGAAGUUAAGCAACGUUGAGCCUGGUCAGUACCUUGAUGGCUCACUGCUUGGGAAUACGAAGUGCUGUAAG